AUUGAACGCUGGCGGCAGGCCUAACACAUGCAAGUCGAACGGUAACAGGAAGAAGCUUGCUUCUUUGCUGACGCGUGGCGGACGGGUGAGUCAUGUCUGGGAAACUGCCUGAUGGAGGGGGAUAACUACUGGAAACGGUAGCUAAUACCGCAUAACGUCGCAAGCCCAAAGAGGGGGACCUUCGGGCCUCUUGCCAUCGGCUGUGCCCAGAUGGGAUUAGCUAGUAGGUGGGGUAACGGCUCACCUAGGCGACGAUCCCUAGCUGGUCUGAGAGGAUGACCAGCCACACUGGAACUGAGACACGGUCCAGACUCCUACGGGAGGCAGCAGUGGGGAAUAUUGCACAAUGGGCGCAAGCCUGAUGCAGCCAUGCCGCGUGUAUGAAGAAGGCCUUCGGGUUGUAAAGUACUUUCAGCGGGGAGGAAGGGAGUAAAGUUAAUACCUUGGCUCAUUGACGUUACCCGCAGAAGAAGCACCGGCUAACUCCGUG
rnacentral:rRNA from 1 species